rnacentral:rRNA from 1 species
UACGUAGGGGGCAAGCGUUGUCCGGAAUCAUUGGGCGUAAAGCGCGUGUAGGCGGCCCAGUAAGUCCGCUGUGAAAGCCCAGGGCUCAACCCUGGGAUGCCGGUGGAUACUGUUGGGCUCGAGUCCGGAAGAGGCGAGUGGAAUUCCCGGUGUAGCGGUGAAAUGCGUAGAUAUCUGGAGGAACACCGGUGGCGAAGGCGGCAUCCUGGACCAAUACUGACGCUGAGGAGCGAAAGCCAGGGGAGCAAACGGG